AUUGAACGCUGGCGGCAGGCCUAACACAUGCAAGUCGAGCGGAUGAAGGGAGCUUGCUCCUGGAUUCAGCGGCGGACGGGUGAGUAAUGCCUAGGAAUCUGCCUGGUAGUGGGGGAUAACGUCCGGACACGGGCGCUAAUACCGCAUACGUCCUGAGGGAGAAAGUGGGGGAUCUUCGGACCUCACGCUAUCAGAUGAGCCUAGGUCGGAUUAGCUAGUUGGUGGGGUAAAGGCCUACCAAGGCGACGAUCCGUAACUGGUCUGAGAGGAUGAUCAGUCACACUGGAACUGAGACACGGUCCAGACUCCUACGGGAGGCAGCAGUGGGGAAUAUUGGACAAAGGGCGAAAGCCUGAUCCAGCCAUACCGCGUGUGUGAAGAAGGUCUUCGGAUUGUAAAGCACUUUAAGUUGGGAGGAAGGGCAGUAAGUUAAUACCUUGCUGUUUUGACGUUACCAACAGAAUAAGCACCGGCUAACUUCGUG
rnacentral:rRNA from 1 species